AAGAAUAUUGGAGCCUCAGUCCUGUCCUUGGGUGUUUCCCGGCUGCCACAAAGAUGAAGCUUUAUCCACCACACCUCUGGCUGUGAUGUACUAUGCUAGUUACAACAGGCCCUUUGAAACUGUCAUGAGAGGAUGGUGUUCACCAGAGGCUUAAGGAAGACUUGAUCAGCAAGGACCUGGAGACUGGCGUGGAGCUUUAGCGGCUUUGCUGAGCCCUUUGGUGGAGUGGGAAAGGCUUUGGACGACUAAGUGACUGAGAGCAGCAUGUAAGAGUGCAGAUUUGGAGACUCAUUUAAAAGACACAUGAGUGCAGCUGAAGAAGCCAGCGUGGGACAUUAGUGCACAAAGGGGGAGAACGCCAGGUGCUGCUGUGGAAUUCUCAGGAGCUUUACAGUUGGGCACCUCCACUGAUGCUAUCUUGUUAAGAAGGAGCCUUGGCUGUCCUGGAACUUGCCCUGUAGACCAGGCUGAAUUUGUGGAGGUCUGACUGCCUCUGCGUCCCCACUGCUGGGAUUAAAGGUGUGCACCACCACUGCGGGGCUGUAAACUGGAAUGAGAAACAACUUGGGCUCCAGAGCACAGAGCACAGCAUGUGCUGUGGUAAGCCACU